rnacentral:snRNA from 1 species
GUGCUCACUUUGGCAGCACAUACACUAAAAUUGGAAUGAUACAGAGAAAAUUAGCGUGGCCCCUGCACAAGGAUGGCACACAAAUUUGUGAAGCAUUCCGUAUUUUU